rnacentral:rRNA from 1 species
AUUGAACGCUGGCGGCAUGCCUUACACAUGCAAGUCGAACGGCAGCACGGGUGCUUGCACCUGGUGGCGAGUGGCGAACGGGUGAGUAAUACAUCGGAACAUGUCCUGUAGUGGGGGAUAGCCCGGCGAAAGCCGGAUUAAUACCGCAUACGAUCUACGGAUGAAAGCGGGGGACCUUCGGGCCUCGCGCUAUCGGGUUGGCCGAUGGCUGAUUAGCUAGUUGGUGGGGUAAAGGCCUACCAAGGCGACGAUCAGUAGCUGGUCUGAGAGGACGACCAGCCACACUGGGACUGAGACACGGCCCAGACUCCUACGGGAGGCAGCAGUGGGGAAUUUUGGACAAUGGGCGAAAGCCUGAUCCAGCAAUGCCGCGUGUGUGAAGAAGGCCUUCGGGUUGUAAAGCACUUUUGUCCGGAAAGAAGUCCUUGGCCCUAAUACGGUCGGGGGAUGACGGUACCGGAAGAAUAAGCACCGGCUAACUACGUG